rnacentral:lncRNA from 1 species
UGUCUGCAGCACGGGGUAGACAGCCCUCGAUUAGCACAGAGAGCUGCUGGGAGAGCUACAGGAGGUGGCUCGGGUGAGGAGCAGCCGAGCCCACGAGGAAUUCCUCGAGACUGGAGUAUUCGUAUAGAGACAGCCAAGGCUGAGGAAGCUAUCCAGCUAGAGGACUGCUCUCACACCGCUGCGGGAGGAGGAUAUGGCUCUGUCCCAGGGAGGACACUGGCAGCAGGUUACUUCAGUUAGUCAGGGCAGGGCUAGGAGCCCCUGGGAGCAGAGACCCAGAGAUACCCAAGGUCCCACAGGAAGUGUGUAGCACAUCUGGGCACUGAACCCUGGUCUCACAAGGCCUAGUGCACUAACCACUGGACAAAGCUGCCUUUCUGUCUUAGUAGGCCAGGAGCUUUGGAAAAUUCCACCAAGUGCAUCUUCAGUGCCUGGUACUUUUUCAAAUCUGACCCUCCUUUGCUGCUAGGAGGUUGUGGUCCCUGGAACACAGCGGGAGCUCGGCGAUUGUUCUUGCUUUAAUCUGAGCUCAGCUGCUGAAAUCUUUCUUUUCGGUCACUUUUCGAGUUUGCUGAUACGUGGCCUGGCUUUUGAGUUGUUCUCCGCAAAGCUCAGUGUGACAGCACCAUUGCUGGUAUGUGGCUAACCCUGUGGGCCCAGGGAUGUGCAGCCGGAGCCACAAUGUGAACCACUGCCUCAUACUGAUUCCCCAACAGCCGAUGACAAUAUUUCAGCAGAUCCCUGGGAUCCUGUCUCCGUUCGCUCAGCCUGUAAGGCCAGGACACGUCCGAGAAGGUAGGA